rnacentral:rRNA from 1 species
GACGAACGCUGGCGGCGUGCCUAAUACAUGCAAGUCGAGCGGAAUGAUGAAGAAGCUUGCUUCUUCUGAUUUUAGCGGCGGACGGGUGAGUAACACGUGGGCAACCUACCUUGUAGAUUGGGAUAACUCCGGGAAACCGGGGCUAAUACCGAAUAAUCCAUUUCGCUACAUGGCGAGAUGUUGAAAGACGGUUUCGGCUGUCACUACAAGAUGGGCCCGCGGCGCAUUAGCUAGUUGGUAGGGUAAUGGCCUACCAAGGCGACGAUGCGUAGCCGACCUGAGAGGGUGAUCGGCCACACUGGGACUGAGACACGGCCCAGACUCCUACGGGAGGCAGCAGUAGGGAAUCUUCCACAAUGGACGAAAGUCUGAUGGAGCAACGCCGCGUGAGUGAAGAAGGUUUUCGGAUCGUAAAACUCUGUUGUAAGGGAAGAACACGUACGAGAGUAACUGCUCGUACCUUGACGGGUACCUUAUUAGAAAGCCACGGCUAACUACGUG